CGUAGGGGGCAAGCGUUGUCCGGAAUUAUUGGGCGUAAAGCGCGUGUAGGCGGCCAGAUAAGUCCGCUGUGAAAUCUCGAGGCUCAACUUCGAGCUGUCGGUGGAAACUGUCUGGCUAGAGUCCGGAAGAGGAGAAUGGAAUUCCUGGUGUAGCGGUGAAAUGCGCAGAUAUCAGGAAGAACACCCGUGGCGAAGGCGGUUCUCUGGGACGGUACUGACGCUGAGACGCGAAAGCGUGGGGAGCGAACAGGAUUAGAUACCCUGGUAGUCCACGCCGUAAACGAUGGGAACUAGGUGUGGGCGGUGUCGACUCCGUCCGUGCCGAAGCUAACGCAUUAAGUUCCCCGCCUGGGGAGUACGGCCGCAAGGCUA
rnacentral:rRNA from 1 species